AUGUCGACGGCCAUCCGCAAGCGCCCGGCGGAGGGACAAGAACCGCGCGUCCAUGGCGGCAAGAAGCCCCGAUACGCGUUUGGAAGCAUCUCCGACUACAAGAAGCUUGAGGUGCUUGGAGAUGGCACCUACGGCGAGGUGUUCAAGGCGCGCGACCGCCGCACCGGCAAGAAAGUCGCCGUGAAGUGGGUCCGCGGCAACGGGGCCGGCGGGCACGGCCCGCCCGACAUCCGCGCGAUCACCCGCGAGGCCGGCUGCCUCGCGGCGUGCCGGGGUCACGAGUCGAUUAUCGAGAUCUUGGAUGUGGCGACGGACACCAAGACAGGGGAUGUGUUCCUCGUCAUGGAGCUCGUCGCCGACGGCCGCACCCUGCGCGAGUCACUCUGGAGGCCUGUAUCCGAGGAGGGGACCCGCGUGAUGAUGGAGCAGCUCCUGGACGCGGCCGCCGGAGUGCCCUAUGAGGAGUGCUGUGUCGGCACCCUGAUUUACACCUCGCCGGAGCAGCUGGAAGGCAACCGGUACUACGGCCAGGCCGUGGACAUGUGGGCGCUUGGGUGCAUCAUGGCGGAGAUGUUGACCGGCGGGACCCUCUUCGUGGCGGAGACAGAGGAGGAGCUGCCCGCCGAGAUGUACAAGCUGCGAGACCAGAUCACUUCUAUGGGGAAGCUGGAUUUGGAGUUCUUGGAGGAGCUUUCAGAAGCCGGGCAUGAGGUCCUGACCGGCCUGCUUGCCUUCAACCCCGACGAGAGGAUGACGGCGGCGGAAGCGCUCGAGCACCGGUGGUUCAGCAAGCCCAAGGCAGCAGAGCACCCUGGCUUUGUGUCGCUGAUGAGUUAA
rnacentral:rRNA from 1 species